GAUGAGAUGUUUAGAAGUACUUGAAAAUUGAAAGUAUUUCCUGAAGUAGUAGCAGUUUAAUAUCUUCUUUCUUAAAGGUGGACCAAGACUUCACUCUCCUAUUUGAUGACGACACAUUCUCCAGGCUGCUUCAGAAAUGUGAUUUGUUCUUCACGCCAAAUGUCAUAAAAGAGGCUAAGCGGCUCACCUCAACACCAGAGUUGUAUCGCUUGGUGCAGUCAGCAGAAAGUCCCCCAGGAAGUGAUCUUGAUGAGGCAAGUGACCCAUGACCAAGACAUGGCUUCCCUGUUGAUGCUGUUACAUCUCCUUCCACCACCUCCAGGGGGAAUGAAGUCUCCAAAGAUUAGUGCAUGGGAUGCAGUUUAGAGACUUAUUGUCUUUCAUAAGUCAUGCUGCAGUUUGGAAGAGCAUCUCCGCAAUCAGCAGGGUUGGCAGCCGUACCUCCUCGCUUGUUGGGCAGCAGAAGAGCAAGAUUGACAGGUUCUACAUCACCAUGGAUACACGUCUCACCCCAUGCAAGGCAAACCACUCCCUCGGGGCAUGUGAUCAAUUUUUCAGAGCACAUUUUCUGUUUAAUUUGUCUUACCAUG